rnacentral:rRNA from 1 species
GUGGGGAAUAUUGGACAAUGGGCGCAAGCCUGAUCCAGCAAUGCCGCGUGGGUGAAGAAGGCCUUCGGGUUGUAAAGCCCUUUUGUACGGAAAGAAAUCCUGGUGGUUAAUACCCGCCGGGGAUGACGGUACCGUAAGAAUAAGCACCGGCUAACUUCGUGCCAGCAGCCGCGGUAAUACGAAGGGUGCAAGCGUUAAUCGGAAUUACUGGGCGUAAAGCGUGCGUAGGUGGUUUCUUAAGUCUGUCGUGAAAGCCCUGGGCUCAACCUGGGAAUGGCGAUGGAUACUGGGAGGCUAGAGUGCGGUAGAGGAUGGCGGAAUUCCCGGUGUAGCGGUGAAAUGCGUAGAGAUCGGGAGGAACAUCUGUGGCGAAGGCGGCCAUCUGGACCAGCACUGACACUGAGGCACGAAAGCGUGGGGAGCAAACAGGAUUAGAAACCCCAGUAGUCC